GACGAACGCUGGCGGCGUGCUUAACACAUGCAAGUCGAACGAGGCCCCUUCUUCGGGAGGGUGUCCUAGUGGCGAACGGGUGAGUAACACGUGAGCAACCUGCCCCCGGCUCUGGGAUAACCCAAGAAAUUGGGGCUAAUACCGGAUAUGUCCGCUGACCGCAUGGUCUGGUGGUGGAAAGGGUUUCCGGCUGGGGAUGGGCCCGCGGCCUAUCAGGCUGUUGGUGGGGUAGUGGCCUACCCAGGCGACGACGGGUAGGCGGCCUGAGAGUGGUACCGGCCACACUGGGCCUGAGACUCGGCCCAGAUGCCUACGGGAGGCAGCAGUGGGGAGUAUUGCGCAAUGGGCGAAAGCCUGACGCAGCGGCGCCGCGUGGGGGAUGACGUCCUGCGGGUUGUAAACCUCUUUCAGCAGGGACGAAGCGCGAGUGACGGUACCUGCAGAAGAAGCACCGGCCAACUACGUGCCAGCCGCCGCGGUAACAC
rnacentral:rRNA from 1 species